AAAGAACCACAGACGGGGUGAACACAGAGAUUUGGGGACACUCAAGAGACUGAAAAUAGCUCUUUCUGCAGCCCACUCCACUGAAGCUCAGAACAGGGGGGCCAUGGAUACAGGCCGUACUACACGCAUCACCUCCAGGUCUCAUCCUGGUGCCUAGGGAGCCAGGACAGCUGUGCUUGGGUCUGUAACUCAGAGCCUGACCAGAGCCUGGGAGAUUCAGGCACAGACAGGCUCUGCCUUAGGAGGGAAGCAAGUGAGACUCACUGGCUUGGAGACCCGCAGAGCUUGAAAAACAACAAGCCAAUUUGCUGGAAAGGUGCCGGGCCAGCACAGGCAGAGCCGGGGAGUGCUGGUUACUGCCUGCCUCACAGCAGGCCCUCUCAGCACCCCAGGCUCACAGCCAUCAGGAGGAGGAAGCAGCGGAGAGAAAGAACUUUAUUUCAGAGGCCGAGUCUUCAUGCUAGAAUGAAGAGAAAGCACUUGAGAUGAGGAAGCAGAGGCAGAGCCUGAAGUGCCCUGCCCAAGGUUGCAAUGCUGAGCCAUCCUUUUCCCGGUGACUUCAAGGAGAACAACAAGGGAACUAUGAAGUCACACAAAGAAGUUAGCUAGAGGAGUGCCCCUGGUUCUCUCAUCGGGAAGAGGAUCGUUCUGCGAGGCAGGAAGCACAGCCUUGGUUAACGGCUGCCUGGGUCUCACUGUAGAGUCCCGGAUAGACUGGAACUCUCUAUGUAGAUCACGCGGGGCUCAAAUCCAGAGAGAUCUGCCUGCUAGAAUUAAAGGAACUCCAGGUCUGCUUCAUGCUGGCUCAUCCUGAAGGUCUUUUCUGAGGUGAAGUCAAUAACCCCAGCUUCACCCGACUGGAGUGAAGAGAACUCGGGCUGCUGCAGCUGGCUGUGUGGAGCUGUGUCUCUGGCCAGUGUGGUGGGAGAGCUGAGUGCUGUGAGGAGGGAGAAAGGAAGGGUUGGAGAAGGAGCAAUGCCCCCCCCCCCCGCAACCCUCCCACACCACUGCAGGUUGUCGGGAUGCUGUGGGCUGGUGGCUCAGGGCAGAAGUUGUGAGUGCUGUGACCGUGGGGAGUCAUGGAAAAUCACUGAGGUACUGAGUCAGGAGCCAGGUUCUCCUCCAUAUCCUGCCUUUCUUGAGGCCUCUGGAGCCACUCUGGGAGGUACUAGAACAUUUCUAAGCUGGCCACAGUUCACAGGCAUUCCACUUUCCCUUCCACUGGAUUCCCCACCACCCUCCACGGUCAACUCACUGGAGAAACAGACUAGCUGGGGUUAAGGCUUCAUGCUUCUCAGGCCAGGUUGUGGCAGGCUAUGGGGACAUGCACUCAGACCAAUGGUAGGGGCAAUGGAGAAUGUGGUGGGAAGAGUCUGGAUACAGUGCAGUCUUGGGGCCUCACCAACCCACAGGAAGCUCAGCACUGGACAGCUCUGCCAGGUGGCCCACAGGAGGACAGUAAGAAGGACCGGUACCCCAUACAUACCAAUCAUGGGUUCGGGCUGCCCCCAAGGGGUGUCACUUUGGAUCAGAGGUACUAACUACCAUGGCUAGUGACCAGAGGCUCAGCCACAGUGGUUUUUUUUUUUUUUUUUUUUUUUAAAUUUUAAGGCCAAUGCAGGAACCUGUGACUUCUGACUGCUGUUACAUGCACCCAACUUUAUCAAGGAACCCCCAAUCCUGGGGAACCCUCAAUCCUGGGGAACCUCCAAUCCUGGGGAACACCCAAUUCUGGGGCCAAACAAGUGGCAGGCAGGCUUUCAAACAUUCUAAACCAAAACAUUUUUGUUUUUUUGAGAUAGGGUUUCACGUCCAGGUUGGCUUUGAAUUCCUAAUUGUACCUCUACAUCCCAAGUGCUGGGACAGGAGGCAUGGAUCACCAUGCCUGCAAACCACAGCAGCAAACCAGAUGUUGCAAACAGCUCCCUUCAGUGUGAGACAGGGAUGGCCUUGACAUCUUACUAGGGGGUGGAAGUGGGAGACAGAUGACGGUGGUGGGGUGGAGAGAAAGGGCAGAAACAGCAGGGUUUAAAGACUUCUGUUUAAAAUGAAGCAGAAGAACUAGAGAGGUAGCAUGGCCUGGCUGUGAAGGUCUAUCAGGGAGAUGGGAGUGAUAGACAGCUUGCUCCUGCAUUGUUUCCUUGGAUCCUGGUUCCCACCCGCUGGGCUCUCUUUGAGGCCCAGCCUUUCCUCAGUGGCAGAAGCAAUGGCCAUUCUAUCCUCUGAGGCUUCCACUUCCUUCCAUACCCCAGUGCCUGUGAUGGCUGCCUCCUAGGAGCAACCCUCCAGUAAAUCUUCUGAGAUUAGCUGUCAACCAUCACUUCCCUAAACCAGCAGCUGCCACCGGCAUUGACAACAUGAGGAGUGCCUGGCUCAGCACCCAGGCCCCAGCACAGCUGAGACUGGAGAAAGGCGCAGAAGGUCUCCAUCUCAGCCUGUCCCUUCACUCCAGGGAACACGUCCCUAUGUGGACUUGAAAGGUGCAUGUUCCUGGCCCAUCCGUGGCCCAGCUGUGACAGGAUUACGUGUCCCCAAGAUCAUCCCAGGAAGAGAGCAGAGGCCAGAAUGUGGGGAAAUUGCCACAUGUCCAGAGAAACCUCUGUAGCAUUUUUAUCAACACAUUCAACUAAAAACAAAUGACACAAACCAUCUGGUUUGUUUAAUAAAUGGAGCAGCAUAAAUAACUAAGACCAACCUCUAAACAAACACCAAGGUAAUGAAAGCCAGUCAUUGUUCAGGAGCAAAGGUGUAAUCAAAUUCUAAUUUUCUAUUCCAAUAAACAUCUUUGAAUUAGUGCCUAUUCCACUAAUUAUGAAGAGUUUUUUUUAUUAGUGUUCUACUUGAUUAAUAAAGCACAAAACACAGAUUACCUAUAAUAUUACUCUCGGUUCCCAUGGGGAGUAUUGGGUGGCUUCUGCAUGUGUUUAAAUGCAAGAGAAGGCAUGAGAACAAGAAGAUGGGGGAGAGGGAGGGGAGCACAAGUCAGCUUUUUAAAAUUUGAAAGAGAGCAAGGAGGAGGGUCUAUGGAAGAGCUUGGAGAGUGGAAGGAAAGAGAAGGAGGAAAUGGUGUGAUUAUUUGUAAUCUCAAAAACAAAAGACAUAGUAAAAAAUUUUAAAAAGCAUUAAAUUUGUAAGACAAAAGCGAAGCCUCCUAGCACAGCGCCUCAGUGCCAAGGUGCUGUCUGGACAGAACAUUUCCGGUCAGCUUAAGCCUUGAGUUUCAGGAGGGAACUCCCUAACCUAUAUCCUAGCAGUGGCUAUAUCCUAGCGACUUGCGGAGGGUUGAAGAAGAGUGUUGUGAACUGCAGCAUUUGCUGACAAUCUCCAGAAAGAUGCUCUGCCCAGCAGCAGGGGCUUGUGCGAGCAACAGAAACUGGUUUAGGGAGGGCGGGGCCCCUAAAGCAUCAGUUCUGAAAUGUUCUUGAUGGAGGCCAGAGCAGAGUUGUGUUUUCUGUCUCUGCCGGCUCCUAAGUGAGCACCUCCUUCUUUCCUGAGCUCCCACCUACGACUCUAUAACAAGCCUCUCAUUAAGACUCUCCCUCUGUUGUCCGUGAAGUCUUCGAAUUUGAGAGACAAGAACUUGUAAGCCACUGGUUCAGAGUUUGGUUUGGUGGUUCCUGGGACCCUAGCUCCCUAAGAAAGUUUCUGCCUUUCUCAAAGACACCCCAAUACUCUCAUAUCUUGAGCAACCAGGCCCCAGAGUCCUGAUGUCAUGGGGCAAACACAGGGAGAGACGGCUCUGCCUUCAGUGGGGCUGUAGCUGCUGCCCAGGCCUGGGAGUGGUAUUGGGCAUCCAGAGGUUGAAAAGCUUCUCCCAGGCAAGUUGCAGGGCUGAAAGUAAACCUGCCCAGUGUCAGUUUGCAGCUUCUGGUGUGGACGGAGCAGUGGGAGCAGAGUUAAGUGUGAGCCUGUAGGGGCCAGGUUCAGAGCUUACUGAACCACAUUCACAAGGCUCAGAACGUGCAGGUCGACAUCUUUUUUUUUUUUCCCCCCAAGACAGGGUUUCUCUGUGUAGUUUUGGUGCCUGUCCUGGAUCUCGCUCAGAAAGAAUCAUUUAAGCCCUGCCUCUGCAGUGAUGCUCCACAUGUAAUGUCAUCAAUAAGAUGGUUGGCUUUUGCUCUUGUCCAUCUGGAAAAACCAGAGCCCCAAGAAUUAGGAGUAGGGCAGAGGUAUUCCUCAGAGGGCAGCAUAGGAGCUUCAUUGUUAAGGAAGUUCAUGUCUGGUGUCUCAGCCUUAACCCACCACAAGAACACCAUUGCUAAUUACUUUGGCUACUGACUGUCAUUUUUGUAGCUAGCCAUACUGUGCCCCAUGGUGGAAAAGCCUCUCUCACCUUUCCUAACCCUGGGCUUCAAAAGGCCACAGAACAUCAUUUACAUUGUAUAUCUGGUCACUAGGCCAGUAGACACCAUGUAUGGGACAUGUUGCUUUUGUGUCGCUGAUUGUCUAGACUACUAUGUGUGGUAGAAAAGACAUGUGGUAUCUUUCCCAAUGAACACAUAAAGAAAUUGAGGACCUGUGCUUUGGGUUGGAACUCAUCCCUCAUCAUGAUGAGUAGGCUUUGUUCAGAUUGUGUCUUGCUGCCCACCUUGCCUCCUCGGUGCAUAAACACUGAGCCUGUUUAUGAGGGAGCUGUGCCUUACCCAGUUGCAGACAGCUGUCCAAGGACACAGAGCACCAUAGUGACCAGGUGCUCAUGUGGUGAACAUCAGGAGCCCUCAGUGGGUAUCUGUGGUGGUUUGAAGGAAAAUUGUUCCCAAAGGGAGUGGCACUACUAGGAGCUAUGACUUUGUUGGAGUGGGUAUGACAUUGUUGGAGGAAGUGUGUCACUGUGGGGGUAGGCUUUGGGGUUCCCCAUGCUCAAGCUAUGACCAGUGAGACAGUUCACUUCCUGCUGCUUGUAGAUCAAGAUGUAGGAAUCUCACAGCCCCUUCUCCAGUGCUAUGUCUGCCUGCAUACUAUCAUGUCCUACCAUGAUGAUAAUGGGCUAAACCUCUAAACUGUAAGCCACUCCAAUUAAAUGUUUUCUUUAGAAUAGUUGUCAUGGUCAUGAUGUCUGUUCAUAGCAAUAGAAACCCUAACUAAGACAGAAGUUGGUACCAGGAACUAGGGUAUUACUGUGAUAGGCCUGACCAUGGUUUUUUUUUUUUUUUUUUUUUUUUGAAGGAAUAUGGAUCUUGGGCCUGUGGAUUAGAAAAGCAGUUGAACACUUUAAGUGCUGCUUAAUGGGCUAUCAUAGUAGGAACAUGGAAGGCAGUGGUGCUGAGUGUGACUUGAUGAACUGUGGGGCCCUGGCUCAAGAGGUUUCAGAGGAGAAGAAUUUUAUUAUGUUGCCUAGAGAUCAUUCUUGUGAUAGUUUGAAAAGUAUGUGACUGCUUUUUGUCUUUGUCCAAAAAGUCUGCCUGUGGCUAAAUUGAAGAGUUUCAGAUUAAUUCCACUGGCAGAAGAAAUCUCAAAACAGUACUACUCUGUCAUAUGGUACUAAUUCAAAUGAAGAUUUAUAAUGAAAAGAAGCAAGCUUAGUAAGGAAAAAUAUAAAAUGUACAAUUUGAGGAGAAAAGGAGCACCAGAAAGUAGAAUGGAGCUAAGUCCUGUGUUCAGGGAGAUAAAAAGAUUACAAAAUGGAAUAAGGGGAAUGGUGACCUCAGGGCAAGAUCCCACCCAGCUAAGUUUCGAAUUGUGAAAAGGAAUUAAAGAAAAGCUUAGAGCCAGGUGUGGUGGUGUAUUCCUUUAAUCCCAGCACCCCAGAGGCAGAAGCCGGCAGAUCUUUGAGUUUGAGGCCACUUGGUCCACAGAGCAAGUUCAAGGACAGUCAGGCUUAGUCAGAGAAGAAAACCAUGGAAAACAGAAAGUUGGUGAAGAUGUAACUGAAUGAGGGGGCCAUGUUCCAGACACAACAAGCAGUAGAACUUGGCAGCUUUGGCCACGUGCUUCUGACUUUAGAGUCAAAGAGUGACUAAGGAAAGCCACUGAGGACAGGCAUGUGUCAGGGGUACCCCUGAAUGGAGGCCUAGAGAUGCUGUUGCAUGAAGCUGUGAAGGUGAAGCCUGAUUUCCUCAGAGAUUCCAAGAUAUUGGAGAUACCAGAGCCAUGGGAUACCUGCCAAGGAGAGCUGCUAACAGGGAGUGGAACUAGCCCAACAGAGGGAAGUGUUUUACAGACAACAAAGCUGAAAGAAGUUAGAGAUCUGAAGAACAUGUUUACAUCAGACAUGGAGAUGCAGGGUUUGGAGUUUGCCCAGCUUGUUUUCAGUCUUGCUUUGGUCCAAUAUUUCCUCACUAUGCUCCCUUCUCUAUGUUUUGAAUGGUAAUAUAUAUCCUGUGCCAUUAUAUGUUGGAAGUAUGUGAUCUGCUUCUUGAUUUUGAUUUUGCAGGGGAUUACAGUUAAGAGACUGCACAAAUCUUGGAAGAGACUUUGAACUUUAGACUUUUAAAACAAAAAGAGGAAAUGUGGUGAUAUAUCGUGUACCCUAAUAAAAUUUUCCUGAAGGUCAGAGAACAAAACAAGCCUCUAGAUUAAACACAGAGGCCAGGCAGGGGUGGCACACACCUUUAAUCUCAGCACUCGGGAGGCAGAGCUCCAUCUGGAUCUCUGCUAAAAUAGUCAUGAAAUAGAUGAAAAGAAACAGAGAAUAAAGUGCCAAAUUAAGAAAGAAGCUGCCUUCAUGUGGCUUCGUGAAGAAGAGCAUUCAACGUAAGAAAGAACAGACUCUAUUCCAAAGAGUGAAAGAGCAUGAGACUCACAAGAUGUAUAGAAAAAACAGGCAAUGCAUAAAAAGAAAAAGUGGCGUCCAGCUCUCCCCUCUUAGCAGAGGGAAGGACAGCAGAAACCUCAUCCAGAAGAGCAGCAGUGGCCAUGAGGAGAAGGGAUUGGCAGUACCACCCUCAGGACAAGCAUGGGAGUCUUGCAAACCUCAGAUCCAUGGUCUUGGUGAGACAACAAUCCCUAGUAAGAAGGGCCAGUAGUGGAGAGGAGGAAUUUUCAUUCUCCUCAACUCAGAAAAAACCCUCCUUCAAAAAUGUGUCAUUCCAGAGGGCCUAAGAACAGGGAAGAGCUACUUCAGGGAGCCUGAAAUCCACCUGACCCAACCCUAAGGUGAAAGACAGUUACAGGAGGCAGCUGUGGAGAUCCAGGACCAAAUGCUGGCACACCGAAAGACACAGGUGCAGGAGACGUGGCUGAUGGAGUGAAGUGCACUCACAGGGAAAGCUUGCUCCAUCCUUAGUGUCUGGAAGCAGAUCUCAUCAACAGAAUAGGGCCGAUAGCCCCAGGAUUGAGAACAGCACUCUGGAGCCACUAGUGCAUUCUGAGACUCAUUGCCUUAGAAAGUGGGAACUCUGAAGCACCUGCAGGCUACUCUUUCUCUCUUAGCAGGCGUCCCUGGAAACCUCUCUCCUUCCACACCACCCCAACUAAAAAACCCACACUAUGCUCCUCCCUGCUACUUCCUGUCAACUGAUUGCUAACCCUGCCUCUCCGAGCCCAGGUUAAUGUUAUUAACACAAAUGCAACACAUCUUUACAUAACUAAACAAAUGCAGCAUCAACAAAUGUAACACAUCUUUGCCUAGAUAUCCAUGCCCUCAUCCCUCUGCAGGGUGUGUAACACUAGCAGGGUAUAAGAGGGUGGAGACAGCUCUCAGUGCUGUGGCUGCUUUCCCCUCUGAAUUUCCCUGGGAGACACCCCUUAGCUUAGAACAUUAGCCAUCACAGGUGGUAUGAACUGGGGAGUUUCAGGGGGGUGGUAAAACUUCCAAGUCCGCAGACUGAAAAGCUAAGUGUGGCCAGUAGGGGCCUCUGGUGUAAAAGAAGGGCAACAACUACUGUGAAGACAGCUGUGGCGUGUUGUGGAAUAUUUGUUUAACUAGGCAAAGAUGUGUUACAUUUGUUUAUGCUGCAUUUGUUUAGCUAUGUAAAGAUGUGUUGCAUUUGUGUUAAUAACAUUAACCUGGGCUCGGAGAGGCAGGGUUAGCAAUCAGUUGACAGGAAGUAGCAGGGAGGAGCACAGUGUGGGUUUUUUAGUUGGGGUGGUGUGGAAGGAGAGAGGCCCGCUAAGAGAGAAAGCUAGCCAGUUAUUGCUCUAACUCCCUGAGCUCACAGGUUUUCACCCUAGCCUUUGAACCUCAAACUUUAUUAGAACAAUAGUGAUAGCAAUUUAGUUAAAGCUACCUUUAGGGGCAGCAAUAGAGCCAUUGUCUGGGGGAAACAGAAUCCCCCACAGGCUACAGCCUUGGCCAGGCAGCUAGUAGUUAAAAGUGCAGCGCUGCGAUGAAAGGGAAGACAGCGGCAGUGGGCACAGGACACUUGCUGGGGACAGCCUCAGCCCCGGCAUAACUCCUAGGAAGCACAAGAGCCUACAAAUCAACUGUCCUCUCUCCUGUAUCUACCCAACAUUCCAAUUUUAAAGUCACAGGAAGAAGCUGUACCAACAAUUCACCUUUCCUUUAUUUUUUGAAAGUUGUUUCCCCCACUUUUUUCUUUUAAACUAUACUUUAAAAAAAUAAAUUUAUUUAUUUAUUUUA